rnacentral:rRNA from 1 species
UACGUAGGGUGCGAGCGUUGCCCGGAAUUACUGGGCGUAAAGAGCUCGUAGGUGGUUUGUCGCGUUGUCCGUGAAAACUCACAACUCAAUUGUGGGCGUGCGGGCGAUACGGGCAGACUGGAGUACUGCAGGGGAGACUGGAAUUCCUGGUGUAGCGGUGGAAUGCGCAGAUAUCAGGAGGAACACCGGUGGCGAAGGCGGGUCUCUGGGCUAGAACUGACGCUCAUGCACGAAAGCGUGGGGAGCAAACAGG